rnacentral:lncRNA from 1 species
AUGAGGAACGGCAACGUGACCUUGGACCUCAGUUCCCAUUCCUCAGAAGUGGAAAUAAAUGCAUCUGCUCCACGGACAUUGCACAUAUUAAUUGAGACAAUACAAAUCAAGUCCUGGGCACAGGAUAAAAGCCCAGAAAUGGCAAACGAUUCCAUAAACUUUUCAGUCAGCUUUUCUCAGGACAAAAUUUUUCCCAGGACUUCUCAUGAGGAUGGAACUUCAGGUAGAGUUACAUGGGCCCUACUCACGACCAGGGGGCCACAUAAUCCAUGGAAGAAACGGGGCUGGCAUGCAUUCAGUCUAGGCUGAACAGACACUGAUUUGACCUGGAGAUCAGAGAGAAAAAGGAGCGCAUUUCCAGUCGCUGAGGAUCUUGAGUUGUGUUGAUGGGACUCAGAAGAUGGUAUCCCAAAAUAUGACGUCUUGGCAAACUGAGUAUUUAAAGCUGAGAGGAUCUGGAAAAAUGGCAAAGGCAGAGAGCUUUCCCUGACCUUUCUUCACCUUUCUUCCCUGAAGGGAGUAUGAAGAGAGGCGGUUUUCUGAUCCUCCAUGGAGCAGGUCAUCAGACCCCCGAGGGGGGUGCCUACCACAUCCCCUCCAUGUCCCCGCGUGACUCUGGCAACAAAGUGUCACAGAAAGGAAGCUGAACAGCUCUUGCUAAAUUCCCCAAGUUGUCACCAUUACGGCAUUCUCUUUGCUCAGUCUCCAUAGCAGUGCACCACUCACCAAACCUAGCAUAAAACUGUACACGUUUGGCUCUCUGUCUGGGCUUUCGUUUCCUAUGAAGGCUCCUGUGUCAUGUGCAACCUGCACUAAAUGAAUGUACAGGGGUUUCUCCUGUCAGUCUGCCUUUGCCGGCUUUCUUUUUAGAUCCAGCCAGCAAUCCUGCGAGGGCUGAGGAAAAUCCUUUCCGGCCAUGCAGGUCCAUGGGAAGUUGCCAGUCCUCGGCCCAGAUCCCUGGCAUGUCACAGAAUCACAUGUGAGUUGCAAAGACUGUGCAUUCCUACCACUAGAAUAGGUGAGAGGAGAUUGUGCAUGUGCAAGGGCCCAGGAUGUGGACGAGCCAGGUGACAUAAGGUGUUGUCGUAAACAAGCAUUGCCUAUCUGGAGAGUCUUGGGCUGGGAAACAGGCAGCGUGCAAGUUCAAGAGCUUCCUCCACACCCAGCCAGACAACUGGGUAGACCCUUCUUGAGGAAGUCAGCAUCUGGUUCGUUGUGGAAUCAAUCCUGUGCCCUAGCUCUGGGAGCCAAUGCAGGCCCGAAGUGGACAGCUGCCGGUCCUGGCAGAAGAGCCAGUGGACUCCGUGGAUGCUGGUCAUUCAGCAGCAAAGACAGAAGGUGGAGGAAAGGACAGGCUCCGCUGCAUCCACAGCUCCUGCUUAACAAAAACAGGAUGAAGUGUGUUGGCUUUUUCUUGCAGUGCCCUGCAGUUAUCUGGGCAGGAAGGAGGGAGUGGAUUCAGCCCCACUGACAGUGUCUCUAAGAAGCACACCAGCAGGGAUAGCACAUCUCUAUGCAAAUGUGGCAACAGUUUGCAGAGCUAGCUGAUGUGUAUUCUGUGUGUGUCAUUGUGCAGGAGUGCGUGCAUAUGCACCCUCAUCCGUGCCUGCGAUGGCACUGUAACCAAGAGAGUGUUCUUUCUCAUUUGGUACAAUUAUCAUUAUUAACUUGAUUUACAGAAAUUAAGCAGCGCAAAUCAUAUUAUAUGGCUGUGCUGUCACCAGAGAGUUAAAAUAAGAAAGAUGCCUCUUUGCAGCUGCAUGCUAAAAUCCUCGGUAUUAACUGAUUGACUAAUAAUGAUACAUACCAAGUAAAAGGUUUUUUGAAAAUCCUCCCAAAUGGUUCAUUCAAUCAACCACAAAUUUGAUUAACUUUAGUUUGUUUUUUUUUUCUUACUGAAUGAACUGCAUUUACAUAAUAGUAACACAAGUAGGUGUGUGUGUGUG